UCUGGAUAUUUUCCAUGUCAACUGAUUCCCUCAACGAGAAGCAGGUCGUCUGAAAUGUGGGAAAUUCCUCUUUGCACGGUUAAAUGUAAGCACCGUUGAUGUAACUGGAUUGUCUGCACAAGUUAACACUCGGCCAUUCACCCAUCAGCGAAUUUAAACAACAAGCAAACCACAAUAAAUCUCUGAUUUCUUCACACUGUCACCCUCCUCUGUUCCCAAUCCGGUACCAGGGGAGUGCGUCACUUUCAAAAGGGUUGACUCCCAGGCAGAAGAUACAGGAGCCUGAGGGCACGUACCACCAGGCUCAAGGACAGCUUCUACCCCACGGUGAUAAGACCAUUGAAUGGUUCCCUUAUACGAUGAGAUGGACUCUGACCUCACGAUCUACCUUGUUGUGACCUUGCACCUUAUUGUCUACCUGCAAUGCACUUCCCUGUAGCUGUGACACUCUGUAUUCUGCUAUUGUUUUUACCCUGUACUACCUGAAUGCACUGUGUAAUGAA